rnacentral:rRNA from 1 species
GACGAACGCUGGCGGCGUGCUUAACACAUGCAAGUCGUACGGUAAGGCCCUUUCGGGGGUACACGAGUGGCGAACGGGUGAGUAACACGUGAGUAACCUGCCCACAACUUUGGGAUAACGCUAGGAAACUGGUGCUAAUACUGGAUAUGUGCUCCUGCUGCAUGGUGGGGGUUGGAAAGCUCCGGCGGUUGUGGAUGGACUCGCGGCCUAUCAGCUUGUUGGUGGGGUAGUGGCCUACCAAGGCGGCGACGGGUAGCCGGCCUGAGAGGGUGACCGGCCACAUUGGGACUGAGAUACGGCCCAGACUCCUACGGGAGGCAGCAGUGGAGAAUAUUGCACAAUGGGCGCAAGCCUGAUGCAGCAACGCCGCGUGCGGGAUGACGGCCUUCGGGUUGUAAACCGCUUUCAGCAGGGACGAAGCUUUUUGUGACGGUACCUGCAGAAGAAGCACCGGCUAACUACGUG